rnacentral:rRNA from 1 species
ACGAGGAAAGCCCUUCGGGUGCCGGUACUAGUGGCGCACGGGUGAGUAACGCGUGGAUAAUCUGCCCUCUGGCGGGGAAUAACCAGUCGAAAGAUUGGCUAAUACCGCAUAAGACCACAGUUUCUGCGGGAACAGUGGUUAAAGAUUUAUCACCAGAGGAUGAGUCCGCGUCCGAUUAGCUUGAUGGUGGGGUAAUGGCCUACCAUAGCUACGAUCGGUAGCUGGUCUGAGAGGAUGAUCAGCCACACUGGAACUGAGACACGGUCCAGACUCCUACGGGAGGCAGCAGUAGGGAAUCUUGCGCAAUGGGGGAAACCCUGACGCAGCGACGCCGCGUGAGUGAUGAAGGCCUUAGGGUUGUAAAGCUCUGUUCUAUGGGAACAAAAAAAUGAGUGUACCAUAGAAGAAAGGACCGGCUAACUCCGUGCCAGCAGCCGCGGUAAUACGGGGGGUCCUAGCGUUGUUCGGAAUCAUUGGGCGUAAAGCGGGUGUAGGCGGACUGAUAAGUCAGAAGUGAAAGCCCCGGGCUCAACCCGGGAAGUGCUUUUGAUACUGUUAGUCUUGAGUGUGGGAGAGGGUAGUAGAAUUCCUGGUGUAGUGGUGAAAUACGUAGAUAUCAGGAGGAACACCGGUGGCGAAGGCGGCUACCUGGCCCAACACUGACGCUCAGACCCGAAAGCGUGGGUAGCAAACAGGAUUAGAUACCCUGGUAGUCCACGCC